rnacentral:rRNA from 1 species
AUUGAACGCUGGCGGCAUGCUUUACACAUGCAAGUCGAACGGUAACAGGCCUUCGGGUGCUGACGAGUGGCGAACGGGUGGGUAAUGCAUCGGAACGUACCCAGAGGUGGGGGAUAACGCAGCGAAAGCUGUGCUAAUACCGCAUGUGAUCUGAGGAUGAAAGCGGGGGACCGAGCAGCAAUGUUUGGCCUCGCGCCUUUGGAGCGGCCGAUGUCGGAUUAGCUAGUUGGUGGGGUAAAGGCCUACCAAGGCGACGAUCCGUAGCUGGUCUGAGAGGACGACCAGCCACACUGGGACUGAGACACGGCCCAGACUCCUACGGGAGGCAGCAAUGGGGAAUUUUGGACAAUGGGCGCAAGCCUGAUCCAGCAAUGCCGCGUGCGGGAAGAAGGCCUUCGGGUUGUAAACCGCUUUUGGCAGGAACGAAACGGUGUCCGCUAAUACCGGGCGCUAAUGACGGUACCUGCAGAAUAAGCACCGGCUAACUACGUG